CUCCAUCUCCUCAUUCAGCACCAC
rnacentral:miRNA from 1 species